rnacentral:rRNA from 1 species
GACGAACGCUGGCGGCGUGCUUAACACAUGCAAGUCGAACGGAAAGGCCCUGCUUGCAGGGUACUCGAGUGGCGAACGGGUGAGUAACACGUGGGUGAUCUGCCCUGCACUUCGGGAUAAGCCUGGGAAACUGGGUCUAAUACCGGAUAGGAGCCAUUUUUAGUGUGAUGGUUGGAAAGUUUUUUCGGUGUAGGAUGAGCUCACGGCCUAUCAGCUUGUUGGUGGGGUAAUGGCCUACCAAGGCGGCGACGGGUAGCCGGCCUGUGAGGGUGGACGGCCACAUUGGGACUGAGGUACGGCCCAGACUCCUACGGGAGGCAGCAGGGGGGAAUAUUGCACAAGGGGCGCAAGCCUGAUGCAGCGACGCCGCGUGGGGGAUGACGGCCUUCGGGUUGUAAACACCUUUCGCUAGGGACGAAGCUUGUUGUGACGGUACCUAGAUAAGAAGCACCGGCUAACUACGUG